CCGCCUUCCUUUAUUUACUCAAUCUUUCUAUAUAUUAUUCAUCCAAUGCUUCUUUUUCUCUCUCUCUCUAAAUUCUAACAUCAGUUUCUUCUAAAGGAUCGGUUAUUUACCUCUUCGAAGCAGUUACAAGUUGUUGAAGAUUAGGGUUUGAUUGAGAUAAUGGCAAGAAAAAAUUUGAGAACUUGAUGUCCAGGAAAAAUUCUGAAGAUGAUGAUAAUUCUAGCUCCAAGACAUUCUGAUAACGAAGGCCGACAUGAAGGGUUGGUAAGUGGUAAGCUAGCUUCUUAUUUCAGACGGUUCUUUUGCAAGACAAAGAGGUUGAAGGUCUUCAACUUCAAAAAGAUGGUCAGUGGUUCAAAGUUUCGAUUGUUCAUGAUGCUCUAACCAUCAACGUCGAUGAGCAAAUCAAGGUUUUGAAAAAGAUUGUGGAUGACGCUUCGAAGUUUUUGAAUGAUAAGGUCUGUUGUGAUUUUUCCCAGUACAUUAUUACAAUGAUUCUUAAAGAACAGGAACCAAAGAUGCUGGGUUGUGGGUCUUGAAGUUCUGCGUAUUAUGAAAUGAACCUACAACUUAGCUUGUGGCUUUGAAAGGAAGAACAACGAAACAAAACUGGUUUUUGACCUUGUGGUGGUACUUUUGAUGUUUCAGGUACCAUAAUUUUGAAUAGUUGUGCUUCACAUUUGUAUAAGCCAAUUUUGAGGUGCUGUCUACAUCUAGAGAUACCCAAUUUUCCCGUUCAAUAUGAAGUGUUAAGGGUAAUAAUCAUUUCAUGGUACGUAUUCAUCAUUGAACUAUUUUGGGAAAAUUGGUUUUUUUGUGUGUUUGUUUGGGGGCUUUUGGACUGAAACAUGGAUUUUUUUUACGAUUAGUAUAUAAGUAUAUUACAUUA